rnacentral:rRNA from 1 species
GUGAGGAAUAUUGGUCAAUGGGCGGGAGCCUGAACCAGCCAAGUCGCGUGAAGGAAGAAGGAUCUAUGGUUCGUAAACUUCUUUUGCAGGGGAAUAAAGUGCAGGACGUGUCCUGUUUUGUAUGUACCCUGAGAAUAAGGAUCGGCUAACUCCGUGCCAGCAGCCGCGGUAAUACGGAGGAUCCGAGCGUUAUCCGGAUUUAUUGGGUUUAAAGGGUGCGUAGGUGGUUUGAUAAGUCAGCGGUGAAAGGUUGCAGCUUAACUGUAAAAAUGCCGUUGAAACUGUCGGACUUGAGUGUAAAUGAGGUAGGCGGAAUGCGUAGUGUAGCGGUGAAAUGCAUAGAUAUCACGCAGAACUCCGAUUGCGAAGGCAGCUUACUAAGCUACAACUGACACUGAAGCACGAAAGCGUGGGGAUCAAACAGGAUUAGAUACCCGGGUAGUCC